AAUAAACCGUUGAGCGAGAGUAGUAAGCUUGUAACGAUGUUCCAGAGAGCCGCCGGUUGCUGAAAAGGCGGUAACAUCCGACCAUGCCGAAUGGACUCGCGAGGGUGGCCCGAAAUCUUCAGGAGAGUAGGUGUCAACGGGGUUUCUGCCCGUUACCACGGAACACGUAUGUUAGUACGUAGUAUGAGUGGGCGCGUUUCGCGUCAACUCGGGUGGUACCACGAAAGUUAUUUCGUCCCGAGA
rnacentral:ncRNA from 1 species